AUUGAACGCUGGCGGCAGGCCUAACACAUGCAAGUCGAGCGGAUGAAGGGAGCUUGCUCCUGGAUUCAGCGGCGGACGGGUGAGUAAUGCCUAGGAAUCUGCCUGGUAGUGGGGGAUAACGUCCGGAAACGGGCGCUAAUACCGCAUACGUCCUGAGGGAGAAAGUGGGGGAUCUUCGGACCUCACGCUAUCAGAUGCGCCUAGGUCGGAUUAGCUAGUUGGUGGGGUAAAGGCCUACCAAGGCGACGAUCCGUAACUGGUCUGAGAGGAUGAUCAGUCACACUGGAACUGAGACACGGUCCAGACUCCUACGGGAGGCAGCAGUGGGGAAUAUUGGACAAUGGGCGAAAGCCUGAUCCAGCCAUGCCGCGUGUGUGAAGAAGGUCUUCGGAUUGUAAAGCACUUUAAGUUGGGAGGAAGGGCAGUAAGUUAAUACCUUGCUGUUUUGACGUUACCAACAGAAUAAGCACCGGCUAACUUCGUG
rnacentral:rRNA from 1 species